GGGGAAUAUUGCACAAUGGGCGAAAGCCUGAUGCAGCGACGCCGCGUGAGGGAUGGAGGCCUUCGGGUUGUAAACCUCUUUCGCUCAUGGUCAAGCCGCAACACUGGUUGUGGUGAGGGUAGUGGGUAAAGAAGCGCCGGCUAACUACGUGCCAGCAGCCGCGGUAAUACGUAGGGCGCGAGCGUUGUCCGGAAUUAUUGGGCGUAAAGGGCUUGUAGGCGGUUGGUCGCGUCUGCCGUGAAAUCCUCUGGCUUAACUGGGGGCGUGCGGUGGGUACGGGCUGACUUGAGUGCGGUAGGGGAGACUGGAACUCCUGGUGUAGCGGUGGAAUGCGCAGAUAUCAGGAAGAACACCGGUGGCGAAGGCGGGUCUCUGGGCCGUUACUGACGCUGAGGAGCGAAAGCGUGGGGAGCGAACAGGAUUAGAUACCCUGGUAGUCCACGCUGUAAACGUUGGGCACUAGGUGUGGGGGCCACCCGUAGUUUCUGCGCCGUAGCUAACGCUUUAAGUGCCCCGCCUGGGGAGUACGGCCGCAAGGCUA
rnacentral:rRNA from 1 species